CCUACGGGAGGCAGCAGUGAGGAAUAUUGGUCAAUGGCCGGAAGGCUGAACCAGCCAUGCCGCGUGAAGGUCAGUGCCCUAUGGGCGUUAAACUUCUUUUGUGCGGGAGCAAUAAUGGUCACGUGUGGCCAGACGAGAGUACCGUACGAAUAAGCAUCGGCUAACUCCGUGCCAGCAGCCGCGGUAAUGCGGGGGAUGCAAGCGUUAUCCGGAUUUAUUGGGUUUAAAGGGUGCGUAGGCUGUGAGGUAAGUCAGCGGUGAAAUGCCCACGCUCAACGGGGUGAAGUGCCAUUGCUACUGUCUGGCUGGAAUGCGGAUGCCGUGGGAGGAAUGUGUGGUGUAGCGGUGAAAUGCAUAGAUAUCACACAGAACACCGAUUGCGAAGGCAUCUCACGAAUCCGCGAUUGACGCUGAUGCACGAAAGCGUGGGUAUCAAACAGGAUUAGAUACCCCUGUAGUC
rnacentral:rRNA from 1 species